ACGGCUUGACAGAAGGCUGCAAAGCCCAAGUGGACACUGGCUGUCAAAAAACUUCCAUGGCAUCUUACAGGGAAGGCUGCUGAAACUUUAUCCCCAACUCCGCCGACCUUUCUCCAAUUAGUCCGUGUAAUGAGAAGAAAGCGGGAAGAGGAAGGAGGGAGGUCCGAAAGGAGGACGAGCCUCGGGUGAAGGGCUCACAUCUUUUCAAGGGUGAUGCAACAGGGUCAGACAGAAGAGGAGGAGCUCGCUGCACAGAAGCCAGCCAGCGUCGCCGCUGCAAAUCUAAGGGGACGCGGGACGAUGGCUCAGUGCAAGGAUCUCAUUUCCCAAUGCAGCGUUCUGACAAACUGCUGAGAAGUCAGGACUCCAACCAACCACACCAAAGGUACCUGCAGAGGCCAGAAGCUGUCAGGAUCCUUUGGAACUGGACCUACAAGCAGUUGUGAGUGCUGGGAACUGAACCAGGGUCCUCCAGAGCGGUAAGCAUCUAACUGCCAUGGCUCUACCCCACAGCCCUUCUAGUUUACUCUUGACUUGAUGUUUUUUUUUUUAAGAUUUAUUUAUUUAU